rnacentral:rRNA from 1 species
UGGGUAGUCCGCACGAGCGCACCUCAUCUUCAGUUGCCAGCGGUUCGGCCGGGCACUCUGAAGAAACUGCCGGUGAUAAGCCGGAGGAAGGUGGGGAUGACGUCAAGUCCUCAUGGCCCUUACGGGCUGGGCUACACACGUGCUACAAUGGCGGUGACAGUGGGUCGCAAGAGCGCAAGCUGGAGCUAAUCCCCAAAAACCGUCUCAGUUCGGAUUGUUCUCUGCAACUCGAGAGCAUGAAGUUGGAAUCGCUAGUAAUCGCGGAUCAGCAUGCCGCGGUGAAUACGUUCCCGGGCCUUGUACACACCGCCCGUCACACCAUGGGAGUUGGCUUUACCCGAAGCCGGUGCGCUAACCGCAAGGAGGCAGCCGACCACGGUAAGGUCAGCAACUGGGGUGAAGUCGUAACAAGGUAGCCGUAGGGGAACCUGCGGCUGGAUCACCUCCUUUCU